rnacentral:rRNA from 1 species
GACGAACGCUGGCGGCGUGCCUAAUACAUGCAAGUCGAGCGGACUAAUGGGAGCUUGCUCCCGUUAGUUAGCGGCGGACGGGUGAGUAACACGUGGGCAACCUACCUGUAAGACUGGGAUAACUUCGGGAAACCGGAGCUAAUACCGGAUGACAUAAAGGAACUCCUGUUCCUUUAUUGAAAGAUGGCUUCGGCUAUCACUUACAGAUGGGCCCGCGGCGCAUUAGCUAGUUGGUGAGGUAACGGCUCACCAAGGCGACGAUGCGUAGCCGACCGGGUAGGGGGAUCGGCCAGACUGGGACUGAGACACGGCCCGGACUCCUACGGGAGGCAGCAGUAGGGAAUCUUCCGCAAUGGACGAAAGUCUGACGGAGCAACGCCGCGUGAGCGAUGAAGGCCUUCGGGUCGUAAAGCUCUGUUGUUAGGGAAGAAUAAGUGCUAGUUGAAUAAGCUGGCACCUUGACGGUACCUAACCAGAAAGCCACGGCUAACUACGUGCCAGCCGCCGCCGUAA